rnacentral:tRNA from 1 species
GUUUCCUUAGUGAGCAGUUAGCAUGUCUGCUUUACAUGCAGAAGGUUCUGGGUUCGCACCCCAGUGGGGCCA